rnacentral:rRNA from 1 species
GUGAGGGAAAGGCGAAAAGAACCCCUGUGAGGGGAGUGAAAUAGAACCUGAAACCGUGUACGUACAAGCAGUAGGAGCCUACUUGUUAGGUGACUGCGUACCUUUUGUAUAAUGGGUCAGCGACUUAUAUUUUGUAGCGAGGUUAACCGAUUAGGGUAGCCGUAGGGAAACCGAGUCUUAACUGGGCGAAUAGUUGCAAGGUAUAGACCCGAAACCCGGUGAUCUAGCCAUGGGCAGGUUGAAGGUUGAGUAACAUCAACUGGAGGACCGAACCCACUAACGUUGAAAAGUUAGGGGA